GGCCCGGUAGCCAAGUGGUAAGGCAGGAGUCUGCAAAACUCUCACCGCCGGUUCGAUUCCGACUCGGGCCUCCA
rnacentral:tRNA from 2 species